AAUAGGUGCCUGAUAAAAAGGACUAUCUUGAUAGGAUAGAUUAUGUACACAAUACCCUUAUUU
rnacentral:tRNA from 1 species